rnacentral:rRNA from 1 species
GACGAACGCUGGCGGCGUGCUUAACACAUGCAAGUCGAACGUGAUUUUUGUGGCAAUUCUUUCGGGAAUGGAAAUGAAAUGCAAGUGGCGAACGGGUGAGUAACACGUGAGCAACCUACCUUACACAGGGGGAUAGCCGUUGGAAACGACGAUUAAUACCGCAUGAGACCACAGAAUCGCAUGAUAUAGGGGUCAAAGAUUUAUCGGUGUAAGAAGGGCUCGCGUCUGAUUAGCUAGUUGGAAGGGUAAAGGCCUACCAAGGCGACGAUCAGUAGCCGGUCUGAGAAGAUGAACGGCCACAUUGGAACUGAGACACGGUCCAAACUCCUACGGGAGGCAGCAGUGGGGAAUAUUGCACAAUGGGGGGAACCCUGAUGCAGCGACGCCGCGUGAGCGAAGAAGGUUUUCGAAUCGUAAAGCUCUGUCCUAUGAGAAGAUAAUGACGGUAUCAGAGGAGGAAGCCCCGGCUAAAUACGUG